AGUGGCGGACGGGUGAGUAAUGUGUAGAGAAUCUGCCCUUGAGCGGGGGACAACAGCUGGAAACGGUUGCUAAUACCCCAUAUGAUGCCGGUUGUGAUACUGGUAUUGAAAACUCCGGUGCUCAAGGAUGAGUCUGCAUCUGAUUAGCUAGUUGGGGGUGUAAUGGACCACCAAGGCGACGAUCAGUAGCUGGUUUGAGAGGAUGAUCAGCCACAAUGGGACUGAGACACGGCCCAUACUCCUACGGGAGGCAGCAGUAGGGAAUUUUGCGCAAUGGGGGCAACCCUGACGCAGCAACGCCGCGUGAUUGAUUAAGCCCUUCGGGGUGUAAAGAUCUGUCAGUGGGGACGAAAUAUGACGGUACCCACAGAGGAAGCACCGGCUAACUCCGUGCCAGCAGCCGCGGUAAUACGGAGGGUGCAAGCGUUGUCCGGAAUCAUUGGGCGUAAAGAGUUCGUAGGUGGCAUGUAAAGUCUGGUGUUAAAGGCAGAAGCUCAACUUCUGUAGGGCACUGGAUACUUGCAAGCUGGAAUGCGGUAGAGGUAAAGGGAAUUCCUGGUGUAGCGGUGAAAUGCGUAGAUAUCAGGAGGAACAUCGGUGGCGUAAGCGCUUUACUGGGCCGUAAUUGACACUGAGGAACGAAAGCCGGGGUAGCAAAUGGGAUUAGAUACCCCAGUAGUCCCGGCCGUAAACGAUGGAUACUAGGUGUUGCGGGUAUCGACCCCUGCAGUGCCGCAGCUAACGCGUUAAGUAUCCCACCUGGGGAGUACGUUCGCAAGAAUGAAACUCAAAGGAAUUGACGGGGACCCGCACAAGCGGUGGAGCAUGUGGUUUAAUUCGAAGCAACGCGAAGAACCUUACCAAGUCUUGACAUCCGCCUGACCGAUCCUUAACCGGAUCUUUCCUUCGGGACAGGCGAGACAGGUGGUGCAUGGUUGUCGUCAGCUCGUGUCGUGAGAUGUUGGGUUAAGUCCCGCAACGAGCGCAACCCCUAUCCUCAGUAGCCAGCAUUUAAGGUGGGCACUCUGGGGAGACUGCCAGGGAUAACCUGGAGGAAGGCGGGGAUGACGUCAAAUCAUCAUGCCCCUUAUGAUUUGGGCUACACACGUGCUACAAUGGCGUAAACAAAGGGAAGCGAGAUUGUGAGGGGGAGCAAAUCCCAAAAAUAACGUCCCAGUUCGGAUUGUAGUCUGCAACUCGACUACAUGAAGCUGGAAUCGCUAGUAAUCGCGAAUCAGAAUGUCGCGGUGAAUACGUUCCCGGGUCUUGUACUCACCGCCCGUCA
rnacentral:rRNA from 1 species